rnacentral:rRNA from 1 species
GAACGCUCUUCCAUUUCGGUGGAAGGGAGUGGCGGACGGGUGAGUAUCACGUGGCUACCUAUCCCCAGGUGAGGAAUACCGGCGAGAAAUCGCCGACAAGACCGCAUACGCUCUGCAAAGAGCAAAGCCUUCGGGCGCCAGGGGAGGGGGCUGCGUCGGAUUAGCUAGUUGGUGAGGUAACGGCCCACCAAGGCUUAGAUCAGUAGCCGGCCUGAGAGGGCGCACGGCCACACUGGAACUGAAACACGGUCCAGACUCCUACGGGAGGCAGCAGUGGGGAAUUUUGCGCAAUGGGGGAAACCCUGACGCAGCAAUGCCGCGUGGAGGAUGAAGUCCCUUGGGAUGUAAACUCCUUUCGAUCGGGACGAUUAUGACGGUACCGGAAGAAGAAGCACCGGCUAACUCUGUG